CCUACGGGGAGCAGCAGUCGAGAAUCAUUCACAAUGGGGGAAACCCUGAUGGUGCGACGCCGCGUGGGGGAAUGAAGGUCUUCGGAUUGUAAACCCCUGUCAGGUGGGAGCAAAUUAAAAAGAUAGUACCACAAGAGGAAGAGACGGCUAACUCUGUGCCAGCAGCCGCGGUAAUACAGAGGUCUCAAGCGUUGUUCGGAAUCACUGGGCGUAAAGCGGGCGGAGGCUUUUUAGUAAGUGGGGUGUGAAAGGCGCGGGCUCAACCCGCGGACGGCACAUGAUACUGCAAGCCUAGAGUAAUGGAGGGGGAACCGGAAUUCUCGGUGUAGCAGGGAAAUGCGUAGAUAUCGAGAGGAACACUCGUGGCGAAGGCGGGUUCCUGGACAUUCACUGACGCUGAGGCACGAAGGCCAGGGGAGCGAAAGGGAUUAGAUACCCGGGUAGUC
rnacentral:rRNA from 1 species